rnacentral:rRNA from 1 species
AGUGAACGCUGGCGGUAGGCCUAACACAUGCAAGUCGAACGGCAGCACAGUAAGAGCUUGCUCUUACGGGUGGCGAGUGGCGGACGGGUGAGGAAUACAUCGGAAUCUACUUUUUCGUGGGGGAUAACGUAGGGAAACUUACGCUAAUACCGCAUACGACCUACGGGUGAAGGCAGGGGAUCUUCGGACCUUGCGCGAUUGAAUGAGCCGAUGUCGGAUUAGCUAGUUGGCGGGGUAAAGACCCACCAAGGCGACGAUCCGUAGCUGGUCUGAGAGGAUGAUCAGCCACACUGGAACUGAGACACGGUCCAGACUCCUACGGGAGGCAGCAGUGGGGAAUAUUGGACAAUGGGCGCAAGCCUGAUCCAGCCAUACCGCGUGGGUGAAGAAGGCCUUCGGGUUGUAAAGCCCUUUUGUUGGGAAAGAAAAGCAGCAGGUUAAUACCCCGCUGUUCUGACGGUACCCAAAGAAUAAGCACCGGCUAACUUCGUG